GACGAACGCUGGCGGCGUGCUUAACACAUGCAAGUCGAACGCUGAAACCAGAUGCUUGCAUUUGGUGGAUGAGUGGCGAACGGGUGAGUAACACGUGGGUGAUCUGCCCUACACUUUGGGAUAAGCCUGGGAAACUGGGUCUAAUACCGAAUAUUCACAUCAUCGUAGGGGUGGUGUGGAAAGCUUUAUGCGGUGUGGGAUGAGCCUGCGGCCUAUCAGCUUGUUGGUGGGGUAAUGGCCUACCAAGGCGUCGACGGGUAGCCGGCCUGAGAGGGUGUACGGCCACAUUGGGACUGAGACACGGCCCAGACUCCUACGGGAGGCAGCAGUGGGGAAUAUUGCACAAUGGGCGCAAGCCUGAUGCAGCGACGCCGCGUGGGGGAUGACGGCCUUCGGGUUGUAAACUCCUUUCGCUAGGGACGAAGCCUUUUUGGUGACGGUACCUGGAGAAGAAGCACCGGCUAACUACGUGCCAGCCGCCGCAGUAAAAC
rnacentral:rRNA from 1 species